rnacentral:rRNA from 1 species
CCUACGGGUGGCAGCAGUGAGGAAUAUUGGUCAAUGGACGAGAGUCUGAACCAGCCAAGUCGCGUGAAGGAUGACUGCCCUAUGGGUUGUAAACUUCUUUUGUCUGGGAGUAAAGUUCAGUAUGUAUACUGCUUUGUGAGUACCAGAAGCAUAAGGAUCGGCUAACUCCGUGCCAGCAGCCGCGGUAAUACGGAGGAUGCGAGCGUUAUCCGGAUUUAUUGGGUUUAAAGGGGGCGUAGGCGGAAGCGGAAGGGAGUUGGGAAAGUUAGCGGCUCAAACGUCAAACUGCAGUUGAUACUGGGUUUCUUGAGUGGAGGAGAAGUAGGCGGAAUUCGUGGUGUAGCGGUGAAAUGCAUAGAUAUCACGAAGAACUCCGAUUGCGAAGGCAGCUUACUGGA